UGGGGAAUAUUGGACAAUGGGCGAAAGCCUGAUCCAGCCAUGCCGCGUGUGUGAAGAAGGUCUUCGGAUUGUAAAGCACUUUAAGUUGGGAGGAAGGGCAGUAACCUAAUACGUUUCUGUCUUGACGUUACCGACAGAAUAAGCACCGGCUAACUCUGUGCCAGCAGCCGCGGUAAUACGUAGGGACCAAGCGUUGUUCGGAUUUACUGGGCGUAAAGGGCGCGUAGGCGGCAAUUCAAGUCAUCUGUGAAAUCUCCGGGCUUAACUCGGAACGGUCAGAUGAUACUGCUUUGCUAGAGUGCAGAAGGGGCAAUCGGAAUUCUUGGUGUAGCGGUGAAAUGCGUAGAUAUCAAGAGGAACACCUGAGGUGAAGACGGGUUGCUGGGCUGACACUGACGCUGAGGCGCGAAAGCCAGGGGAGCAAACGGGAUUAGAUACCCCCGUAGUCCCUGAGCGGGCUGGCAAGGCGCAU
rnacentral:rRNA from 1 species